rnacentral:rRNA from 1 species
GAUGAACGCUGGCGGCGUGCCUAAUACAUGCAAGUCGAGCGAACAGACGAGGAGCUUGCUCCUCUGACGUUAGCGGCGGACGGGUGAGUAACACGUGGAUAACCUACCUAUAAGACUGGGAUAACUUCGGGAAACCGGAGCUAAUACCGGAUAAUAUAUUGAACCGCAUGGUUCAAUAGUGAAAGACGGUUUUGCUGUCACUUAUAGAUGGAUCCGCGCCGCAUUAGCUAGUUGGUAAGGUAACGGCUUACCAAGGCAACGAUGCGUAGCCGACCUGAGAGGGUGAUCGGCCACACUGGAACUGAGACACGGUCCAGACUCCUACGGGAGGCAGCAGUAGGGAAUCUUCCGCAAUGGGCGAAAGCCUGGCGGAGCAACGCCGCGUGAGUGAUGAAGGUCUUCGGAUCGUAAAACUCUGUUAUUAGUGAAGAACAAAUGUGUAAGUAACUAUGCACGUCUUGACGGUACCUAAUCAGAAAGCCACGGCUAACUACGUG